GGGCGGAUGGCCGAGUUGGUCUAAGGCGACAGACUUAAGUUCUGUUCUUCUCACGAAGGCGUGGGUUCGAACCCCACUCCGCCCA